GGGUCAGUAGGUUGGUCGUGCCACCGGUACGUACUGGUCUCACUGAAUCCUCCUUCCUGAAGAACCGUAAUGCCAUUAAUUUGGUGUUGCGGGGAAACAGGACUGUUACUUUGAAAAAAUUAGAGUGUUUAAAGCAAGCUAACGCUUGAAUACAUUAGCAUGGAAUAAUGAAAUAGGACGAUCGAUCCUAUUUUGUUGGUUUCUAGGAUUGACGUA
rnacentral:rRNA from 1 species